CCUACGCGAGGCUGCAGUGAGGAAUAUUGGUCAAUGGGCUUACGCCUGAACCAGCCAAGUCGCGUGAGGGAAGACUGCCCUAUGGGUUGUAAACCUCUUUUGUCAGGGAGCAACGCCGGCUACGUGUAGCCGGACUGAGAGUACCUGAAGAAAAAGCAUCGGCUAACUCCGUGCCAGCAGCCGCGGUAAUACGGAGGAUGCGAGCGUUAUCCGGAUUUAUUUGGCGUAAAGCGCUCGUAGGCGGUAUGUCAAGUCAAGGGUGAAAUCCCCGGGCUCAACCUGGGAACUGCCGUUGAAACUGGCAAACUGGAGUGUGUGAGAGGAGAGUGGAAUUCGAGGUGUAGGAGUGAAAUCCAUAGAUAUCUGGAAGAACAGCGGUGGCGAAGGCGACUAACUGGCACAUAACUGACGCUGAGGAGCGAAAGCGUGGGUAGCGAACAGGAUUAGAUACCCCUGUAGUC
rnacentral:rRNA from 1 species